rnacentral:rRNA from 1 species
CUUGUACACACCGCCCGUCACACCAUGGGAGUUGGCUUUACCUGAAGACGGUGCGCUAACCAGCAAUGGAGGCAGCCGGCCACGGUAGGGUCACCGACUGGGGUGAAGUCGUAACAAGGUAGCCGUAGGGGAACCUGCGGCUGGAUCACCUCCUUU